rnacentral:rRNA from 1 species
GAUGAACGCUGGCGGCGCGCCUAACACAUGCAAGUCGAACGGCACCCACCCUCGGGUGGAAGCGAGUGGCGAACGGCUGAGUAACACGUGGAGAACCCGCCCCCUCCUCCGGGAUAGCCUCGGGAAACCGUGGGUAAUACCGGAUGACCCCGCAGGGCCGCAUGGCCCCGCGGGCAAAGCCCAGACGGGAGGGGAUGGCUCCGCGGCCCAUCAGGUAGACGGCGGGGUGACGGCCCACCGUGCCGACGACGGGUAGCCGGGUUGAGAGACCGACCGGCCAGAUUGGGACUGAGACACGGCCCAGACUCCUACGGGAGGCAGCAGUGGGGAAUCUUGCGCAAUGGGGGGAACCCUGACGCAGCGACGCCGCGUGCGGGACGAAGGCCCUCGGGUCGUAAACCGCUUUCAGCAGGGAUGAGACAAG